rnacentral:rRNA from 1 species
GACGAACCGAGCGAACGUUGUUCGGAAUCACUGGGCUUAAAGGGCGCGUAGGCGGGUACUCAAGUCUGUGGUGAAAUCCGGCAGCUUAACUGUCGAAUUGCCUUGGAUACUGGGUAUCUCGAGGGAGGUAGGGGCAUGCGGAACUAUUGGUGGAGCGGUGAAAUGCGUUGAUAUCAAUAGGAACUCCGGUGGCGAAGGCGGCAUGCUGGACCUCUUCUGACGCUGAGGCGCGAAAGCCAGGGGAGCAAACGGGG